GGUUCCUUAUCCAUCUCCAUCUGCCCAUGUUCAAGAACGUGCUUCUGCAGAUGAUAAAAGGGCAUAAAAUAUAGCAUUUUCCAAGAAAACUCUGUUUCCCCUUUAAUGACACUACUAUUCCUCUUCUGUAAGAAGAAAAAGAAAGGAAGAAGUCUCUGAGCAAAAGAAAGCAAAAAAAAAAAAAAAAAAAAAAAAGGAGCUACACAAUGACCUCUUUCCUCUGUUAACAUGGGUGAAGAAGAAGAAGAGGAAGUGAAGUGUCAGUAGGCUCUGCCUGGGAUUAGGAGUAGCUGGAUGAUGUAGAGAUUUAUUUAUCUGUCUGUGUCUUUAUGGAAACCUAUUCCUAUGGUAUUUGAGGUCCAGGUUCUCCAGAAGAUGUAGGUGGUAUGUCAUGAAUACCUUAUAGAUUAUGUGAUUCAUCAUGUGUGGCUCAUGGGUACUAUAUUUGCUAGAGACUGACCAUAAAACAAAAUUUAUAUGUGUGUGGCAAUUUCUGACACCACAGCACUGGUCUGUGUCCUGAUUCCGGGGAGAAAAUGUCAGAAUGUAAACAUCUUUCCUGGAGUUAAGAUUUCCCACCAGUUCAUCUUGACAAUUCCAAUCACACCAAAACAUUUCAAUAUAUGUAUUUGUCUCCCAAAACCAGAGCAGUAGCUCAGACAGAAAUUACAGUACUUUACAAUACAGAGCUCACAGAGAACAUGGAUUGAAGAUAGGAAGAGAGGAGGCAUUUUUGUUUUUUGUAUGGGUAGUUAUUAUAAUGCACAGAAAUUUGUUAAUAAGUAUAUGAUUAACUUAAUCCCACACUAUGUGUGAGAAGUAGGUAAAGAAAUCUUACCAAUAUUUGGUCUCGCUUAUACAAUCAAGGAAAAGAAAACCAUAAUAGUCAUAUUUUGACACUGUAUGCAAUUUAUCAGGAUUUUAAUGGCAGGUAUAUAUUAAUAAUAAGGAACAAAUGGAGUUUCACUCUAAUAAAGGUCUUAGGAUAAAAUUACACCAUUCUGAGAAUCUGCUUCAGGUCCAGUUUUUAAAGUUACACAAAAUAGGAAAGAACUGCAUGAAGUUAAGCCUUACUGGUUAAAAAACACUGUAUAGCAGAAGUGUUUCUGCUGUUAGUACCAAAAAUGAUUCAUCCCAUUCUCAGUGAUAAUUCCCCACCUAUUUUUUGCCAAGAUUAACAAAUAGAAAGUUGUGUGGAAUGUAAUGUGCUACACAGGUAGGGUAGG